rnacentral:lncRNA from 1 species
CGGGCUAGGUUUGCACAAUCCGACGGUUGGCAAUGAUCUUCAUGUGCGAUCGAACGAUCAGUAGCUGCUAGCCAAGGGAAGAAGUUUGGGAUGAUUUUGCACCAUCUGAUGGUCUAGAAUGCAAAUCAAUCAAGAUCUGAUAGCCAGCAUUGAUUUCCAACAUGAUAAGGCAUUGAUGAGCUUGAUUUCGGGCCAUUUGAUCAUGAUUGGAUGGUGAGCGUGGGUUGAGGAGUUUGAACACAAUUGAGAGCCCAAUACUACUUGAUUUCAAUCCAUAUUUUACUCUAUAAAAAGCUUAGCACCGAUCAACAGAGAGAGCAGUGGAAAUGGGCAACAGAUCAGAGCAAGCAGCAGUAGAAACUUUUCUUGUUUAUUUUUUUCUAGUUAUUGUCUUAGGCUUUGG